rnacentral:lncRNA from 1 species
ACAGAGUUCCUCAGGCCUUGUCACAGCAGUGUGGAGUUAAGUGAAGGCAGGGGAUAGCUGUAGUAAGGCUGAGCUAGGCCAGCUGGGCACCAAGUGGGGGAUUGCGUGGCUCAAUGGCAGCAGCUUUUUAAUUACUUGGGUUCUCUGGGUUCAACUUUGGUAGCCAUCAUGCCAGGGUCUUAGGGGAAUCCUCUCUCAGAAAAGACUGGGUGUUACUCCUCAUUUCAAUGUCAAGAUUUAAUAUAGGAGUUAUUAGUGACCUUUUAAUGUGGAACUUCCCAGGCUUCAUCUGAUUCCUGUGUCGUCUACCAUCUCCCCAUUUUUGAUGGCCACUGACACUUGUCUGUCCCUUCUCCUCUUCCUUGUUCCUGUUCUUUCCCUCAUUUAUUCUUUCCUUCCACACUUCUCUCAUUUUUUGGAUGAGUAGGGCAGGUUAGGGAGGGUUUGAGGAGAAGAGGUGAAAGGUGGUGACCCCAUUAGACUUGGUCAGCAGUUCUGUCGUCAAGCUGGAGCACCCCUAACCCUGAGCAUGUGAAUGCUGAGCCAUGUGGUCGUGACAUUUCUAGCCCAUCAACCUUCAUAAGGCUCUUUAAUAGAAAUCGCACAGAAAAAGUCCCUUUUUAUGCUAGUCCAAUCAGUGGAGGAGAAGGGUACCAGUGUCAAGUAGGAGAUUCUUUUCCUAGUCGCAAUCCCAGUCUCAAAUUAAUGAGGUAAAUGCAGGCUGAAAGCAAAGGAAGGGAAAAACUGGCUCACCUUAAUUUUCUCCAACUCAACACCACAAAACCAACCAGCACCCAGAUUAAGAAACAUGGCUAGCAAGUCAGUGAGACCCUGUCUCUAAGUAAAAUACAAAAUAAGACUGGGGAUAUGGCUCAGUGGUCGAGUGCCCCUGAGUUCAAUCCCUAGUACCCCCACCCCUGAAAAAAACAUGGCUGGACUUCAAGUACUUCCUGUCCACCCCUACCCCCAGGAAUAAGUACUGUCCUGAUAUUGAAUAGCACAGAUCAGUUCCCCUGCCGUUGCUGGGGAGGUGCUACAUGAACAUUUUAAAUAACUGAACACCGGCUUAUAGGUAGUGAAGGUAGCUGAACCUCGUGAGCUGUAGCUACAAGUUUCGCC